GUGGGAAGGAGUGUAAUUGGACGAUAAUUCGAUGCUUGAUUUUUAUAUAAUCCUUUAUGCAAAGCUAUAAUUAAAGCCGUCUUAAGGCAAUGGGGAUAAGUGCCAUUUUGAAAUGAAACGUUAGUUAAAGUGGUAAGGUACAUGUACAAUCAGGCAGACUCGGAAACAUUUUUGUAAGUCCAUCAGUUCUAGAUGAGUAUUUAGUUUUUAUGUCAUUAAUUGUACUGCGAAACUCUGCUAAAACUACGGGCAUAAAGAAGAAACUGUGUAAGUUAGCAUUAGCAACAGAGAGAUAUGAAAGCGAAUCAUGAGAAGGAGUUAUAGAAUUUGAUAAAUUUUUGGUUACAUUUACAAAGUAAUUAUUAGGUUGCCUUAGAAAUAUUACAAGAUUUAACGAGUCUCCUAUUAUAAUAAAUAUCUUUGGCAGCUCUUAUUGUCUUAUGAUAAAUUUUUUGGUAUAGUUUCACGUAAUUUUUGAAGAAGACACUAUCCGAGAAUUUCCUUAGAUGAGAUAAAGAUCGCAUGUCCUUUGCAGAUAUACGUUAACCUCUAGUGGACCAGUGGUUAUUUUGCUUAUUUUUCAAAAGCUUAAGGGAAAAAGAAUUGGAUGCCAGACUAGUUAGUGUUUUUAUGAAUCUACAACAUUCGAAGUCCACAUCGCCAGAGAGCAUAUUCCAGUCAGUUGUUUGACAACGGUGCUUGAAGUUUUCAAAACUUUUUUCCGAAAAGAUAAUUUGCGAGAAACAUUUUUAGCAUUGAAUUUUACCCAAAAUUUGGUUUGCACUGCUUCAUAAUCGGAGAGACCUGAAUUAAAGACAGUACAGUCGGUGGAUUCUAAAUCGUACGAUGACACGAAAUAGUCUAUAGUACUAGAACUGGUCUUAGUUAUUCUGAUUGGUGCCAUUAUACGCAUUACCAUACAAAAAAUGCUAAAAUUGACAUUCUUCACCAUCACACACACUGGAAUAAUCAAUAUUGAGAUCGCCACAUAGAAUUAGCUGCUGAUACUUAAUAACGUGAACAAAUUGAACUUCAUAUGCAAGAUAACUUAAAUCUUUGCGCAAAAUGUCCUAUAAAAUAGAUACAAGUUCACUUGUUGAACACAAUGACGAAUUGACACAUUUGGUUCAUCAUCCAUACUACGCACGGUAAUCACUUCUUCUCUGUGCACAUAGGGCAUCUUAAGUACUUUUUUCACAUAACCAACUACUUAAGAUCGACGUGCAUAUACGAGCUCCGUCCCAUUUCAGUUGGCCAAAUGUUAGUAAAAUGUUUUAAACUUUUAGUUUUACGUAUAAAAUAGGUUUUGGAUGAAUAUUGUCAAAUAUUUUGAAUUAUAUUUAGUAUGAUGGAAAUAGAGGUCUUGUUGAUAAUAAUUUUUUAUGCAUAUACAAGGGUUCAUUGUUACCAAAAUUGUGUUCAAAGUUUCAUUAGGUCUAAAAUACGCAAAUAAUAAAGUAGACUGUGUAAAUCAUAUUUCCACAAAAUGUUUUUUUUAGUGACAGAUAGAUUUUUGAAGUAAUAAGGUGAGUAAAAUUUUUAAAAUGGGUAGAGGAAAAGUUAUUGAUGAACUAAGAGUACUUUGUCUUCAAGAUCCACAUGUCACAGAGAGGCUCAAAAAUUAGGAUUUCGGACAUACCAGGAAAAGCCAUUAUUGACUCGAAUCCAAAAGAAAAAUAGACUUAAAUGGGCCAAAGAGCAUUAAAAUUGGAAUUUUGAACAGUGGAGCUGUAUUGGAGUGCUGAGUCUCGUUUUGAAGUUUGCGUGGGUGACGAUCGAAGUACAAUUAUUCGACAAAAAAAUGAAGCUUUUCAUCCAGAUUGUUUGAAGCGGAAAGUAAAAUUUCCGGCAUCUGUGAUGGUGUGGGGCUCGAUAUCUGCAAGAGGAGUGGGAAAACUGCAUUUCAUAAACGGAAUUGUCAAUACUGAAAAGUACCUGGAUAUUUUAGAAGAAUCAUUGUUGCCAACCAAAGAAGUAACUUUAACCGCUGGUAAAGCCUUUAUUUUUCAGUAUGAUGGAGCAGCAUGCCAUAAGUCAAAAAAGGCCUUAAAAUGGUUCUCAGACAAUAAUAUUCCGCUUUUAGAGUGGGUUUCAAAUAGUCCAGAUUUAUCACCAAUAGAAACACUUUGGCAUGAAAUGAAAAAGCAGUUGCAUGCAAAUCCAGCUAGAACUGAAAUGGAAUUAAAAGAAAGACUACAAGAAAUUUGGGAUGAUUUUACUCAAGAUUACUGCCAGAAUUUAAUAAACACCAUGCCUCAAAGAAUUACGGCUAAUUUUAAAAAUAAAUGGGAUGUUACGCAAUGGUAACUUUUAAAAGUAUGUUUAAUAUUUAAGCUUUUCUGAUUACAUUUGGUUUUUGUUUUUUUUUUGGUUUGCAAUUAUAACAUAUGUUAAGACUUGUAAUUCCUGUAAAAGUAUCUAAAAUGUUUAUAAAUAAUAUAGAGUGCUCAAAAUGAAACAA